GGGCUGGAGCUCAGUGGUAGAGCACUCACCUAGCAUGUGUGAGGCACUGAGUUCAAUCCUCAGCACCACA
rnacentral:tRNA from 1 species